rnacentral:rRNA from 1 species
ACGAACGCUGGCGGCGUGCCUAAUACAUGCAAGUCGAACGCUUCUUUUUCCAUCGGAGCUUGCUCCACCGGAAAAAGAGGAGUGGCGAACGGGUGAGUAACACGUGGGUAACCUGCCCAUCAGAAGGGGAUAACACUUGGAAACAGGUGCUAAUACCGUAUAACAAUCGAAACCGCAUGGUUUUGAUUUGAAAGGCGCUUUCGGGUGUCGCUGAUGGAUGGACCCGCGGUGCAUUAGCUAGUUGGUGAGGUAACGGCUCACCAAGGCGACGAUGCAUAGCCGACCUGAGAGGGUGAUCGGCCACAUUGGGACUGAGACACGGCCCAAACUCCUACGGGAGGCAGCAGUAGGGAAUCUUCGGCAAUGGACGAAAGUCUGACCGAGCAACGCCGCGUGAGUGAAGAAGGUUUUCGGAUCGUAAAACUCUGUUGUUAGAGAAGAACAAGGAUGAGAGUAACUGUUCAUCCCUUGACGGUAUCUAACCAGAAAGCCACGGCUAACUACGUGCCAGCAGCCGCGGUAAUACGUAGGUGGCAAGCGUUGUCCGGAUUUAUUGGGCGUAAAGCGAGCGCAGGCGGUUUCUUAAGUCUGAUGUGAAAGCCCCCGGCUCAACCGGGGAGGGUCAUUGGAAACUGGGAGACUUGAGUGCAGAAGAGGAGAGUGGAAUUCCAUGUGUAGCGGUGAAAUGCGUAGAUAUAUGGAGGAACACCAGUGGCGAAGGCGGCUCUCUGGUCUGUAACUGACGCUGAGGCUCGAAAGCGUGGGGAGCAAACAGGAUUAGAUACCCUGGUAGUCCACGCCGUAAACGAUGAGUGCUAAGUGUUGGAGGGUUUCCGCCCUUCAGUGCUGCAGCUAACGCAUUAAGCACUCCGCCUGGGGAGUACGACCGCAAGGUUGAAACUCAAAGGAAUUGACGGGGGCCCGCACAAGCGGUGGAGCAUGUGGUUUAAUUCGAAGCAACGCGAAGAACCUUACCAAGUCUUGACAUCCUGCGACGCACAUAGAAAUAUGUGUUUCCUUCGGGACGCAGAGACAGGUGGUGCAUGGUUGUCGUCAGCUCGUGUCGUGAGAUGUUGGGUUAAGUCCCGCAACGAGCGCAACCCUUAUUGUUAGUUGCCAUCAUUUAGUUGGGCACUCUAGCAAGACUGCCGGUGACAAACCGGAGGAAGGUGGGGAUGACGUCAAAUCAUCAUGCCCCUUAUGACCUGGGCUACACACGUGCUACAAUGGGAAGUACAACGAGUCGCAAAGUCGCGAGGCUAAGCUAAUCUCUUAAAGCUUCUCUCAGUUCGGAUUGUAGGCUGCAACUCGCCUACAUGAAGCCGGAAUCGCUAGUAAUCGCGGAUCAGCACGCCGCGGUGAAUACGUUCCCGGGCCUUGUACACACCGCCCGUCACACCACGAGAGUUUGUAACACCCGAAGUCGGUGAGGUAACCUUUUGGAGCCAGCCGCCUAAGGUGGGAUAGAUGAUUGGGGUG